rnacentral:lncRNA from 1 species
AUGGGUCAAAAAUGCUUUGCUUCCUUUCCUUAAAGCUUUUCUUGCGUUCAUGAUUGAGAUAAUACUCAAAGAUUGUUUGGGUUCCAUAUUAUGAAUUUCGCCUUGAAAGAAGAAUUGCGGUUCAUCUAGAAUUUGAAAUACCACUCUUUUUUCAAAACAAUCAAUAUGUGCAUGGUACGAAGAUAACCAGUUCAUUCCAAGAAUAACGUCAAAAUCAUACAUAUUUAGCUGAAUCAAAUCUGCUGCUAAUUCUUUUUCUUCUAUUUGGAUUAUGCAAUUCUUAAAAAUAAUGUUAGCAACAACAAUAUUUUUAAAAGGUGUGCUAACAUAUAAGGGUUCAUUUAGUUUUUCAGGCACACAAUUCAAAGAAGUAGCAAAGUUGAGAGAUAUAAAAGAGUGUAAAGAGCCGGAAUCGAAUAACACACGAGCAUGAAUAGAAUUGACUGGGAUAAUACCUGUCACCACUUGAUCAUUUGUAUUGGCCUCCUGCUGGUUUAAAGUAAACACUCGUGCAUUUCCUUUCUGUUUUUGAUCAAUUGGUUUGUUAGG